rnacentral:sRNA from 1 species
UAAAGACCGAAGACAGCAGGUGCACGUAAGUGCUUAAAUAUGCCAGCCUAGGAAUUUAGAAUACUUAAUGAUUUAUCAUUAAUGAAUUUUGAAUUAUUACCCUCUGUCAAGGUUUUGACAGAGGGUUUUUUAUAUG